GACGAACGCUGGCGGCGUGCCUAAUACAUGCAAGUAGAACGCUGAAGAGAGGAGCUUGCUCUUCUUGGAUGAGUUGCGAACGGGUGAGUAACGCGUAGGUAACCUGCCUGGUAGCGGGGGAUAACUAUUGGAAACGAUAGCUAAUACCGCAUAAAAUGGAUUAUCGCAUGAUAAUCCAUUGAAAGGUGCAAAUGCAUCACUACCAGAUGGACCUGCGUUGUAUUAGCUAGUUGGUGGGGUAACGGCUCACCAAGGCGACGAUACAUAGCCGACCUGAGAGGGUGAUCGGCCACACUGGGACUGAGACACGGCCCAGACUCCUACGGGAGGCAGCAGUAGGGAAUCGUCGGCAAUGGACGGAAGUCUGACCGAGCAACGCCGCGUGAGUGAAGAAGGUUUUCGGAUCGUAAAGCUCUGUUGUAAGAGAAGAACGAGUGUGAGAGUGGAAAGUUCACACUGUGACGGUAUCUUACCAGAAAGGGACGGCUAACUACGUG
rnacentral:rRNA from 1 species